rnacentral:rRNA from 1 species
AUUGAACGCUGGCGGCAUGCCUUACACAUGCAAGUCGAACGGUAACGGGCCUUCGGGUGCCGACGAGUGGCGAACGGGUGAGUAAAGUAUCGGAACGUACCUUUCAGUGGGGGAUAACGUAGCGAAAGUUACGCUAAUACCGCAUAUUCUGUGAGCAGGAAAGCAGGGGAACGCAAGACCUUGCUCUUAUCGAAGGGCCGAUAUCAGAUUAGCUAGUUGGUGAGGUAAAGGCUCAACAAGGCGACGAUCUGUAGCGGGUCUGAGAGGAUGAUCCGCCACACUGGAACUGAGACACGGUCCAGACUCCUACGGGAGGCAGCAGUGGGGAAUUUUGGACAAUGGGGGCAACCCUGAUCCAGCCAUGCCGCGUGAGUGAAGAAGGCCUUCGGGUUGUAAAGCUCUUUCGGCCGGGAAGAAAUCGUAUCAGCUAAUACCUGGUGCGGAUGACGGUACCGGCAUAAGAAGCACCGGCUAACUACGUGCCAGCCGCCGCCGUAACAC